rnacentral:lncRNA from 1 species
GCUGGACAAAAUGCUUAGGAGCAUUUCUUCCAGUUCUUCAUGUUCUGAUUUUAAAUGCUGCUUAGGUCGACUUUGUGUUACAUCCUUUCAGAGUCAAUAAAAUAUGUACCAGUUCAGUGCUGUAGGCCAACACAAUCAACCCAAUCCUUUUGCCUCAAAAUUACUGGCCUUAUGUCAAAGCUGAAAAAUAUUAAUAUAUCAGUAGCUCUGAGCCAAUAUAGCAUAUCCAUCAUCAUCAUAAUUUAGCAUCCAUUUUCCAUGCAGGCAUGGGUUAGAUGGUUUGACUGAAACUGGCAAGCCAGAGAGCUGUACCAGGCUUCAGUCUGAUCUGGCAGAGUUUCUACAGCUGGAUGCCCUUCCUAACACCAACCACGCAAAGAGUGUAGUGGGUGCCUUUCACAUGUCAAGUCACCACCACAGGUGCCUUUUACAAGUCACUGUCAUGGGUGCCUUCUACGAGUCACCAUUGUAGGUGCCUUUUACGAGUAACCAUUUUAGGUGCCUUUUACACGUCACCAUUGUAGGUGCCUUUUAC